GAUUUGGCGGACGGGUGAGUAACGCGUGGGCAAUCUGCCCUCUAGCCUGGGAUAACAGUUCGAAAGGACUGCUAACACCGGAUAUGCUCACUAGGGAGACAUCUCCCGGUGAGGAAAGUUUACACUAGAGGAUGAGCCCGCGUCCCAUUAGCUAGUUGGUGAGGUAACGGCCCACCAAGGCGACGAUGGGUAGCCGACCUGAGAGGGUGAUCGGCCACACUGGGACUGAGACACGGCCCAGACUCCUACGGGAGGCAGCAGUAGGGAAUUUUCCGCAAUGGGCGCAAGCCUGACGGAGCAACGCCGCGUGAGGGAUGAAGGUUUUCGGAUCGUAAACCUCUGUCUUCAGGGACGAUAAUGACGGUACCUGAGGAGGAAGCCACGGCUAACUACGUGCCAGCAGCCGCGGUAAUAAU
rnacentral:rRNA from 1 species